rnacentral:rRNA from 1 species
UACAGAGGUCCCAAGCGUUGUUCGGAUUCAUUGGGCGUAAAGGGUGCGUAGGCGGCGCGGUAAGUCGGGUGUGAAAUCUCGGAGCUUAACUCCGAAACUGCAUUCGAUACUGCCUUGCUAGAGUACUGGAGAGGAGAUUGGAAUUUACGGUGUAGCAGUGAAAUGCGUAGAUAUCGUAAGGAAGACCAGUGGCGAAGGCGAAUCUCUGGACAGUUACUGACACUGAGGCACGAAGGCCAGGGGAGCAAACGGG